GACGGGGGGGGGGCAAGUGUUCUUUCGGAAUGACUGGGGCGUAAAAGGGGCACGUAGGCGGUGAAUCGGGUUGAAAGUGAAAGUCGCCAAAAAAGUGGCGGAAUGCUCUCGAAACCAAUUCACUUGAGUGAGACAGAGGAGAGUGGAAUUUCGUGUGUAGGGGUGAAAUCCGUAGAUCUACGAAGGAACGCCAAAAGCGAAGGCAGCUCUCUGGGUCCCUACCGACGCUGGGGUGCGAAAGCAUGGGGAGCGAACAGG
rnacentral:rRNA from 1 species